rnacentral:snRNA from 1 species
AUCAUUUCUCAGCCUUUUGGCUAAGAUCAAGUGUGAUAUCUUUUCUUGCCAGUUUAAUAUAUGUUAAAUAUAUCCUGCUCCUCCAGAGAACUUUG